UUCUGAGCCUUUGAGAUUGAGCUUCAAGCUCUCAUUCCAUGACGAGACAAGGAGCACCGAGCUUGAACAAAUACUAGCAGAUACUGAAGCACCAUAUUUUAAGAGAAUCCGUUCAGCUUCCUGGGUUGAACUGAAAUUGCUUUUCCACCUUGCAGCUCCAGCUGUGAUUGUUUACUUGCUCAAUAAUGUUGUUUCCAUGUCUACUCAGAUCUUUUGUGGUCACCUCGGAAACCUUGAGCUUGCUGCUGUCUCUCUUGGUAACACUGGUAUCCAGAUGUUUGCCUAUGGCCUUAUGGUAAUACCUCUGCCCCCCCCCCUCUCUCACAUAUAUAUGGAUGAUUGUGAUCAUUAGUUAGCUAAGAAAAGGAAGGAUAGCAAGAAGAAAAGUUAAUUCUUGUUUUGAUUUUCUUUUCCUUUCAUAUUUCUUGCUUUAGCUAGAAUAAGGAUUUGGAAGAUUGGCUUUUCUCGUGUGUUUUUUUUUUAAACCUUUAGGCCAAAAGUGGACUGAGGAGAAAAGGGAAAAAAAAUAAUUUUAUGCUUUGUUCUCCAGAGAUUUUGUCUUCCCCUGUUAUCUCUGUUUUCCCCCCCUUCUUCUUCAAGAAUUUUCCCUUUUCAGGCAACAAAAAUGGUGGGGGUUAAAAUUCUUUCAUACCUUCUCUAUCAAGUGGAGAAUUGUCCUCUAGUUAUAUUAAAAAAGCUUGCUUUUCUUGCAGCUUGGAAUGGGAAGUGCAGUGGAGACACUAUGUGGCCAAGCAUUUGGGGCACAUAGAUAUGAAAUGCUAGGUGUAUACCUCCAAAGAUCAACAAUUCUCCUCAUGGCAACGGCUAUCCCUCUAAUGGUGAUCUACAUAUUUAGCGAACCUCUCUUGAUGUUAUUAGGUGAACCAGUCAGCAUAGCAUCAGCAGCUGCAGUUUUUGUGUACGGACUUAUCCCUCAAAUUUUUGCUUAUGCUGCCAAUUUUCCAAUUCAAAAAUUUUUGCAAGCCCAAAGCAUAAUUGCUCCUAGUGCAUAUAUAUCAUUGGGUGCCCUUGUGGUUCAUGUUUUGCUCUCCUGGUUCGCAAUCUUCAAAUGGAACUGGGGCUUGCUAGGUGCUGGCCUUGUCUUGAGUUUCUCAUGGUGGAUCAUUGUGGCGGGUCAGUUUGUGUACAUUCUAACGAGUAGUAGCUGUAGAAAGACAUGGCAAGGUUUCAGUUCGGAGGCCUUUAGCGGGCUUUGGAGCUUCUUCAAACUGUCUGCUGCAUCAGCUGUAAUGUUGUGUUUGGAGACUUGGUACUAUCAGAUUUUAGUAUUGAUUGCUGGGUUGCUUAAAAAUGCUGAGGUUGCAUUGGAUGCUCUCUCAGUUUGGUAAGCAAUUAACUAGACUUGCUUCUUUCGUAUUUUCCAUGUCUUGCCCGCCUCAAGAAAAGUAAAGGCAUCGUUGCUUCUUGUGCUUGGAUUGACUGACUUGUUAACACUAUCUACUCCUCUCUAUUUGCAGCAUGACAUUAUCCGGAUGGGUGUUUAUGAUUUCAGUUGGAUUUAAUGCUGCUGCAAGGUCAGUUUUUGUUAUGAAAGAGAUCAAGGAUAAACGCUUUCAUUUUGCUGUAAGCAUAUAGCAUUGCAGACAAUUAACAUAUACUUGGUCUUAACCAAUUAACAAAUCACGACCAGAUCACUAGGUUGACUUAAUCUUUAACUGGUUUGAAAUUAUUAUGUCUCGCAUCAUCUUAUAUAUGAACUCUCACAAAUAUGAUUUUAACAUCUACUUAGUCUUAAACAGUGUGAGAGUGAGCAAUGAGCUAGGAGCAGGACAUCCAAAAUCAGCUUCAUUUUCAGUCAUCGUGGUGACAUCCUGCUCGUUUAUAAUUUCAGUAAUCGCAGCCAUUAUUGUGCUGAUAUUUCGAGACUCCAUUAGCUACAUCUUCACUGAAGGUGAAGUUGUUGCUAAAGCUGCCUCUGACCUCUCCCCAUUCCUUGCCGCUACUCUCAUACUAAAUGGCAUCCAGCCUGUCCUGUCCGGUAAGAUCUUGACCAAGUAUUUGUUUAUUUUUCCUUAACAACAGGUGCAAUGGAUCUUCGGGUACAAAAUCACUGAAAUUUCUUUGUGUUAAAGGUGUGGCUGUCGGGUGUGGAUGGCAAGCAUUUGUUGCAUAUGUGAACGUAGGAUGCUACUACGUUAUCGGAGUUCCAGUAGGAGUGCUUCUUGGUUUUACAUUUGACCUUGGUGCCAAGGUAGGAUCAUUGCCUUUGUUACAAGAGCUCUUAGCUUUACUAUUUUUCUUUAAUGGCUAGACAUUCAUUUUUUAACUUGUCAGAGAUAUUUUGGUAUUGUGGUAGGUUUUGUAUUUUUUUCCAAUCACAUAGAAAAAAAUAUUUGGUUAGCCGAACAAUUUAUACUUUUUUGCACUGUGCCCCAUACAUGAUUGUGUUUAAAGCCGUGUUUUGUAGAAGCUAAGAUGACUACUUUUCAUUCAUGAAUACCUGUUUUUUAUUUAUUUGUAUGCAAGAUUUAUUCCACAAUAUUUUCAACUAAAUAUAUUUUUUUAAAACCGCAACUAUAAGUGUUUUUUUUUUAAAUUUAUUUUUUAAAACUGCAAUCACAAAAGUUUUCAAAAACACUUUAUUUUUGCAUGUAGAAAUCAAAUUUACAUAUUCUGCCAGGUAAAAAGAGCUGGAUGCUAAACUUUCGAGUUAAUUCAUUUGAUAGUUGUAAAGUGCGUCUACUUUAGCUCCACUAAUUAUUGUUUAUCAUUCGUAGUGUGUAUAUAUAUAUCAUCAUUUAGUGCAUGCCCCACUUUUAAAGAGAUUGAAUUUUAAUCAUGUUCUAUAGGCUCUGAUGAUUAAACGAAACCCUAAGCACAGAGCCAAUCCUUCAAUGUUAUUUGAAGUGCUAAGACAGUGAACGUAGGGAAGAAAAUGUUCGAAGCAUGAUUUAAGGUAUCUAAUGUAUUUAUUUUGCAGGGAAUAUGGUCAGGCAUGUUAGGAGGGACCGUUUUGCAAACUAUAAUCUUGGUGUGGGUUACUUUGAGAACAGAUUGGAAUAAAGAGGUAAAAACCCAAUUCCCAUUUUCAUCACAAAUCAACAUCUAGAAGAGAUUGGUCACGUCCCUUCCAUAAAUCACUUUGGCCACCGUAAUUAUUAUAGUAAUUAUUGUAGGCCAACCGCACUCAUAUCUCCUUUUCAAUUAUUGAACACAAUCUGCUCUCAAUACACGUCCCAAUGCUUACUUAUGUUUCCAAUGUCUGCCAUCCAUGCAUGGAAUGGACAUGCCAUGCUUUCGCUGGUUUGGAAUAUUGUUUAAAAUAUUAAAAAUAAUUUUUUUAAAAUAAAAAAUAUUGUUUAUGUAAUUUCAAAUGAAAGUUACUUUUAAUCAUUAUACUUCCAAACACCGAGCUUUAUCACCCUUACCCUUUACAAAAAAUUACUACUAUACAUAUAAAUUACAUGUGAAUGAUUUUUUUCAUAUCAUAUUAUUUUGAGUUAAAAAAAGUAAAAUGACUAGUAACAUUAUCAAUUUGUGUCGAAAUUUACAGGUGGAGAGUGCCAAAAACCGAUUGAGUUCAUGGGAUGAAAAAGGGCAGCCUCUUCUUGUGGAGUAAUUAAAGUAGACUUUGUGAAGAGCGCGAUUGCGGUUUUUGGACUCAUCAUGUGCUGAAGACAUUGAUUUUUGUCCUUCCAGUUUAGUCUCGGGGGUUGAUGGAUAGGAAGGAAUAAUUUGUGAUGACGAGUCUGCUAUAUAUCUCUACUCAUAAUGAUGUUGGAGGAAUAAUUCUUACAACUCAGAGAAUGGAAAGUGGUGUUCUAAUUGGAAUUGUUGUGUCUAGGGAGAGGAGUUCUACAUAUAACACUUUUCCUUUUGUAAUAAGAGAUGAUUUUUGAACUAAAUAAUACAUUAAUCCUGUAGUUCAAUUCAAUCUGGAGUCUAUAAUUUACAUCUGUCGGGUCCCUAUAAUUUGGUGACACACCAAAUUUGAGAUUAUGUGUUACCCACGGUUUAGUGUCUUUUAGGUAUUGCAGUAUAAUUUUUUUAAUUUAAAAAUAUAUUAAAAUUAUUAAAAAAAUAUCAAUUUAAAGCUUUUUAAAUGAAAUAUUUUUUAAAAAAACAUUUAAUUAACAAGCAUUCAAUCAUGAAUAUUUUAUAGAUAGAUUGUGGAAAUAUGCAUGUUUAUCCGUUAGAUAUAUUAAAGAGCCAUCUUAAAUUAUAAACAAUUAUUUAAUUAAAAAGCAUGCAAUCAUGAAUAUUUUAUAGAUAAAUUAUAUAGAUAUGCAUAAUGACAUAAAAUUAUUAUAUUGAAAGUCAUCAUCUUAAAUUAUAGAAAAGUCUAAAUCUCAGAGAGAAAUAAUUUAGUUUAAAACUUGUAUAAGAUUAUAAAUAUUUUAUUAAUUUAAUCAAAGAGAAAGAAGAAGAUGAGAGUUGAAUUUUAUAAUAAUUUUAUCUCAUUAUGAUAACUAAAAAAUCUAAAUAUAUAUGUCAUAUGGAUAGAGAUUGUGAACAUGAAAGAGUUAGAUUUUAAUUGAUUUAGCACUAUUAUAUUUAUGCCUAUAAUUAAUUACUCAAUGACUAAGACUUUUUAUAGUAUCCAUUUAUUUUCCAAAUGAUGGGAUCAAGGAAAUGGCUGCAUACACGUAUCGUAUUCUUCAAAACAGGACAAGGAAACCAGCCGGAACCAAUUAAUCAAGAUAAUGGAGGAAGAGAAACCUAAAAGAGAACUGUAUCAUUUAGUCCAAAGCAAGUUCUUGACCACAAACCAUUGUAUUUUCAUGACCACAAAUCAUCCAGUGGCCAGGACAAAUUAAAUCUAAUAAUUCACGUCUAGGAUUUUGUGUUUCAGAAUUUUUGCUUGCUUACUAGAACGUUCAAUUUCAACGAUUCUUGGACACCAUAAUCAAGUAGGACCAUUCUCCAAAUUUCUAUGUUCUUUUUUCCUCUCACGAGGGACGGCUUCCAAGUUUGAACUUGAAAUUUCAGCGUGAAAAUUAGACUCCAAAUUUUAGCUGAAUGUUCUUCGCAGAUUUUAUAUGUGAAAUCCCCAUCCGAAUAUGAUGAUUAAAAAAUAAAUUUCGAAAUCGAAAUUGAGGAACUGGUCAUUAAACUCUUGACUACUAGUCUUUUAUGGUGUUAAAACAAGUCUUUUAUGAUGAUUAUUGGACGUUUUGACUUAAAGAAAUUAAAUUCCGAAACCAAAUCUUAUUAAAUACCUACAAAUCAAUCAUAGUUUCCUUGCUAAUCACCACCGAUCAGUGAGACUACGAAGGCAAUUGUUUAAUUGAAUAGAUUAAACUUAUUACCAUUAAUUUGAAACUGAUUUUUGAUAGAUCUAUGAUUGUUCUUUGAUACCAAUGAUUGAACCCACCGCAAACCACAAAAUCCACUUUGUAUUUGUUUUUUUAAUUUUGGAUUUGGUGUCUAACGUUGCGUUUGAGUUCAGCUUGUGAGACUUGGAUUAGCUCAAUUUUUUAGUAUUUCUGUUUUUUGUGGGGGCAGCAAUGGAUGAUGAUGAUGAUACAAGAGGAAAGCAUAAGAUUAGAGAAGUAAAAGAGAAGAAGAAAACUGCCCUGGCAUGAGUGCUCGCUCGCCACCAAAACCCAAAUCGAAAAAGCCAAUGAGAACAUAGAUAUUCAUAUACCAAAACAAAACAAGAAUCAUAAUCAUCACGUCCUUGGAGAAUUUCACUACAGAGAAAAGGAAAAUGAUCUGGCAGCACCGCACUCACAUUAAAUUUAUAAAAAAGAGGUAAUAAGAUUACAUUGCCAUUAGGCAGUCUCAUAUUAUUAUUAUUAUUUUUUAAAUUGUGCAUUUUGUAACCCUAGUGCAUGCACGCGACCUCUCACAUGUUUAUACUUUACAAAACUUUUCUUUUCAUUUUUCACACGCAACCCACAACAACGUGAAGCACAUUCGACAAAAUAAAUGAUGUAAUGAUGGAGACGUAGCAAGGAUACCAAUGAAAUUAACCACACUGAUUUCACAUUUGACUUCAUGAAUGCAGUUGUCUUUGUAUAGACCAUGUUGACUACACAAUGCGGAAAGGAGGAAUCCAAGAAUUUACAAGUAUCUUCUUCGAUUUAAACUUUAGCAUAUAAGUAGUAUCUGUUAUGUACAUCAAGACAAAACAUUUAUUAAUUUGAUAUAGAAGCUCAAAUCACAAGCGCAAAAGAGGAGGGAAAUGGAGACCGAUCCUGAUCCGAGAUUAAGCUUUAAACUCUCUGUCCAUGAUGGUCAUGAGACAGUGAGCGAUGAGCUUGAACAAAUACUAACAGAUACUGAAGCACCAUACUCUAAGAGAAUCCGUUCAGCUUCUUGGGUUGAACUGAAAUCGCUUUUCCACCUUGCAGCUCCAGCUGUGAUAGUUUACUUGCUCAAUAACGUUGUUUCCAUGUCUACUCAGAUCUUUUGCGGUCACCUUGGAAAUCUUGAGCUUGCUGCUGUCUCUCUUGGUAACACUGGUAUC
rnacentral:lncRNA from 1 species